UUCCUUUUUCAAAAUCAUUGGAUGCAUCGAUAAAUAAUACGUUGUCGUCUUGUUGGCGACAUUUUUUAAAUACAAGGAUACAUGUUGGAAUACUUGUUCCAUAGAAAAUGUUCGCUGGUAACCCAAUCACGGCUUCUAAGUAGUUCUUUUCUUCAAUUAAAUAACGACGAAUGACACCUUCUGCGGCACCACGGAAUA
rnacentral:sRNA from 1 species